AUCGAACUUCGGGGCGGGGCGAAAUUCCCCACCGGCGGUGAUUUGCUUGAUUGAAUAAUCCAGUAAACAGCCCGCGAGCGCCUUGUUGCUUAAAGAUAUGUCUUUUUAGCAACAAGGGUCAGCAGAUCUGGUGAGACUCCAGAGCCGACGGUUACAGUCCGGAUGAUAGAAGAUCGAC
rnacentral:ncRNA from 2 species